CAUUUAACGCCGUUAGAGAAGGACGUUCGUACGGUAGAGCGCGGACGUAAUGCUUUUCUGUCGUUCUGUUGAGGGCCAAAAGCAAAAAUCAAAACAAAACAAAAAAUAAAAGCGAAUGCAAAAUAAAUGGAGCCAAAAGUGAAUGCAAAGAAAAACAGCUACAACAACAAUAAUAGCUAUAAUGUGGCAGCAAGCAAAGCGUUUUGCCCCGAUUUUGAGCCUCUUCCAUUUUCUGUGUGAAAGUGAAAUUAAUCAAAAAACAUACCGUACUUAAAAUUUCGAUUAUUAAUUUCCUCGUUGUUUUUGGCGAGCAGUGCGGUUAAUUUGCGAUUUGUUUUAUAUGAUUUUGGAUCCGCGUGAGAUGCUUUGAUUUGUAGUACACUAUCUACCGUAGACUUCUGACGUCGCGCGUGUUGAAAAUUUUGUGUGAGGAAAAAACUAAUCUAACAGCCAAAGGAAAUUGAAUUUUAAUUUAAGGUUGAAAAUAUUAUCAAAAAUAUAUGAACGAACUAUGUAAACGAAAAUAUACAUAGGAAAUAUUACACAUAUCAACGAAACUUUUUAUGAAAAAAUCAGUGUUUAAAA